AACGUAGGACGCGAACGUUAUCCGGAUUUACUGGGCGUAAAGCGCGUGCAGGCGGUGGCUUAAGUCGUGCGUGAAAGCUCCCUGGCUCAACCGGGAGAGGCCGCGCGAAACUGGGUCACUGGAGGACGGUAGAGGCGUGUGGAAUUCCGGGUGUAGUGGUGAAAUGCGUAGAUAUCCGGAGGAACACCAGUGGCGAAGGC
rnacentral:rRNA from 1 species